rnacentral:lncRNA from 1 species
GCAGAUCCGACCAAUCGGAUGAGAUAUACUCGUUUGAUGCUACAUUCAAAAGGUGUUAAAUCUCUGGUUGGCUUUUUUCUCUACUUGUUUUAGUUUACAAGUGAAUUUAACUUUAGAAAGUGAGUAGUAACUUUUUGUUUCGAUAGAUGGCGAUACUGUUUAUAAAGACGCAGUUCACAAAUCCAAAUACUGUACUGUACAGUACUGACAUUGGUUCAUAGAUUUACGAAGAUAAAAUGUUGUAAAUAAAAUAAAAAGUUUAUAUUAUGUACAUCGUGUUGCGAAACUUCCUUCUGCAAGAACGUCGUUACUUUUUUUUGCGAUCGACACUAGUGAUGAAUUUUCUCGCAUGGAUCACAAAAUUUUCGCGAUCUGGCUUGCGAUAUUGUUGUGUAUACACAAACUGUAAUCGCGCGAAGACUAGUCAGGCUUUAUGCAAAUUUCUAGUGCUAAAACAUUUUAUUGUAUUCCUAUUUAUCUAUUUGAUAAAAUUUUUAAUUAUCAGAUUUUUAUCGAUAAUAAUAACAUUUAUUUUUAGCCACUGAUAAUUAGGGUUUAUGUCGUAUUUUAUGAAUUUUUGAAUAUCAGUAAUACGAUAUUAUGAUGUGUUGAUUAUGAACGUAAAUUAUUUGAAACAUUAAUGGCCAAUAAAUUAAAUUUUAAAUGCUUUAUGGCUUACAGCUUGUUAUUUUAUAAAAUCAAAAUUCUUUACGACUUUCAUCGAUGAUUUUAAGCUCUGAAUUAAACGCACGAAAUCCGAAAUAGCCAUUAAAUUUUUGAAAUUAAUUUUUUUUUUUGUGACAUAUAAAAAUAUAUUCUAUGUAGUUCGUUUCUACUAGAGAACUUGAUAUCGAUGUGCUGGAAAAAAUAUUGUAUAUUAAGUAUUAAAAAAAAUACUGAUUAUAAUACAGUAACUAUAAUUUUUCCAAAAUUAUAUCCAUUAAGCAAAUUUAAAUUUCUACUGCUCAUUUAAUUUUGUAUUGAAUCAAUUUAAUUCAAAUAUCAGAACCGCUAU